GGGCUAAGCCAAGUUGGCCGUUUUGAUAUAACAAUUGAUUAAAUACAAUCAUAAUGUGACGUUCUCAGGAUUUGAAAUUUAUAUAUAGUAUAAUAAGACUAAAUCUUUUUAUUCGAUUAUACCAUUUUGGGCUAUGGUUGAAUUCAUGAUAUUAAGAGGAUUAAGUAUGUUAGGGUUAAAGUAGUUUUAGGAUUUGUGACUCCUUUUUUGAAGCAGGACAUCACAAUUGGUAUCGGAGCCAAUCAUUAAUCGGAAGUAUGAGAUGGAUCUUGGCUGAGCUCAGAUCAUAUAGCGGGAAGAAUAUUGCUCUCCAAUUGACGACUGUUGUGGGUAGAGCACAGAUUCCGCAAGAUGGCUAGUUAAGGCUAGCAAUACGAGUCUCAAAUCGUCUGUUGCUUGUGAGUGUACUUGAGCCUUGCAAGGACGUCAGAACUUAAAAGGAAGGAAUAUGAUACUUUCAAAUUUUGAAAUAGUCAUGUGUAUAUAUAUGGCAGUGUUUGGAUUGGGGAUAAGGGGAGGGAUAACCCCUUAUCCCCCUCUUUAUACCCAAAUGCAAAUUUUUUACCCCAGAAUAGUAGUAGUUCUAGGAUUUCUGAAAUAAGCUGGUAUAACUAUCUCCACUAACACCUCUAUUUUUUAUAUAUAACUAUCCAUUAUUUUUCUUAUUCCAUAUUAUCUAUCCAAACACUAUUUUUCUUAUCCCCGGGAACAACCCAAUUUUCAUCCAAACGCUAUUUUGCUUAUUUCCAUACUUGUACCUAUCCCUGUAAUAGCUAGUUCUUGCUUAUACCCGAACCAAACGGGAUAAUAUAUGAUAUGACCAAACUUUUUAACCUGGUUAUAGCAUUUGGGAUGGUGGCUAGAUCUAAAAACUUAAUAGGGUUAAAUGUGGUAGAACUAGAAUAGUUUUAGAAUAGAUGACCCCCCAGAAAGCAGAGUGUGACACAUGAAUUGUUCGUCUUUAUCCUAAUUAAACAUUAAUAACAUCGACAUUAUGGUAAACAAAAUUCCCAUUUCCAUUAGCUGCAUUUUCUUCUUCUACUUUUAGCUACAGUUAUUUUUUGCAGAAUGUUUAUCGAUGCAAAAGUUUGGAUCCAACUGUGGUAUAAAAUAGAUUUAAGAUUU
rnacentral:lncRNA from 1 species